rnacentral:rRNA from 1 species
AGAGUUUGAUCCUGGCUCAGGACGAACGCUGGCGGCGUGCCUAAUACAUGCAAGUCGAGCGGACUGAUGGGAGCUUGCUCCCUGAUGUUAGCGGCGGACGGGUGAGUAACACGUGGGCAACCUGCCUGUAAGACUGGGAUAACUCCGGGAAACCGGGGCUAAUACCGGAUAACCCGUUCCACCUCAUGGUGGAGCGGUAAAAGAUGGCCUCUGGCUAUCACUUACAGAUGGGCCCGCGGCGCAUUAGCUAGUUGGUAAGGUAACGGCUUACCAAGGCGACGAUGCGUAGCCGACCUGAGAGGGUGAUCGGCCACACUGGGACUGAGACACGGCCCAGACUCCUACGGGAGGCAGCAGUAGGGAAUCUUCCGCAAUGGACGAAAGUCUGACGGAGCAACGCCGCGUGAGUGAUGAAGGUUUUCGGAUCGUAAAGCUCUGUUGUUAGGGAAGAACAAGUGCCGUUUGAAUAAGGCGGCACCUUGACGGUACCUAACCAGAAAGCCACGGCUAACUACGUGCCAGCAGCCGCGGUAAUACGUAGGUGGCAAGCGUUGUCCGGAAUUAUUGGGCGUAAAGCGCGCGCAGGCGGUCUCUUAAGUCUGAUGUGAAAGCCCACGGCUCAACCGUGGAGGGUCAUUGGAAACUGGGAGACUUGAGUACAGAAGAGGAGAGUGGAAUUCCACGUGUAGCGGUGAAAUGCGUAGAUAUGUGGAGGAACACCAGUGGCGAAGGCGACUCUCUGGUCUGUAACUGACGCUGANGCGCGAAAGCGUGGGGAGCAAACAGGAUUAGAUACCCUGGUAGUCCACGCCGUAAACGAUGAGUGCUAGGUGUUAGGGGUUUCGAUGCCCUUAGUGCCGAAGUUAACACAUUAAGCACUCCGCCUGGGGAGUACNACCGCAAGGUUGAAACUCAAAGGANUNGACGGGGGNCCGCACAAGCAGUGGAGCAUGNNGUUUAAUUCGAAGCAACGCGAANNANCUUACCANGNCNUGAC